rnacentral:tRNA from 1 species
GCGUCUAGCUCAGUGGUUAAGGGGUUCGGCUGGCAACCGCAAGAUCGCUGGUUUGAGUCCCAGAUGAUGACGUG